rnacentral:tRNA from 2 species
GCCGAUGUAGCUCAGUUGGCCAGAGCUACUGAUUUGUAAUCAGUGGGUCGGGGGUUCGAAUCCCUCCAUCGGCUCCA